rnacentral:rRNA from 1 species
CCUACGGGGUGCAGCAGUGGGGAAUAUUGCACAAUGGGGGGAACCCUGACGCAGCGACGCCGCGUGAGUGAAGAAGUAUUUCGGUACGUAAAGCUCUAUCAGCAGGGAAGAAAAUGACGGUACCUGACUAAGAAGCACCGGCUAACCCCGUGCCAGCAGCCGCGGUAAUACGUAGGGGGCAAGCUUUCUCCGGAUUUACUGGGUGUAAAGGGAGCGCAGACGGCUGUGCAAGUCUGGAGUGAAAGGCGGGGGCGCAACCCCCGGACUGCUCUUGAAACUGUAAAGCUGGAGUGCAGGAGAGGUAAGCGGAAUUCCUAGUGUAGCGGUGAAAUGCGUAGAUAUUAGGAGGAACACCAGUGGCGAAGGCGGCUUACUGGACUGCAACUGACGUUGAGGCUCGAAAGCGUGGGGAGCAAACAGGAUUAGAUACCCUAGUAGUC